UACGGAGGGUGCAAGCGUUGUUCGGAAUUACUGGGCGUAAAGCGCGCGUAGGCGGUUUACUAAGUCAGAUGUGAAAGUCCCCGGCUCAACCGUGGAAGUGCAUUUGAAACUGGCAGACUUGAGUAUUGGAGGGGGUGGUGGAAUUCCCGGAGUAGAGGUGAAAUUCGUAGAUAUCGGGAGGAAUACCGGUGGCGAAGGCGACCACCUGGCCAAAUACUGACGCUGAGGUGCGAAAGCGUGGGGAGCAAACAGG
rnacentral:rRNA from 1 species